rnacentral:rRNA from 1 species
UACAGGGGGUGCAAACGUUGCUCGGAAUUAUUGGGCGUAAAGCGCACGUAGGCGGUUCGUUAUGUCAGAUGUGAAAGCCCUUGGCUCAACUGAGGAAGUGCAUCUGAAACUGGCGAGCUAGAGUAUGUAAGAGGGUCGCGGAAUUCCCGGUGUAGAGGUGAAAUUCGUAGAUAUCGGGAGGAACACCGGUGGCGAAAGCGGCUCACUGGACCAUAACUGACGCUGAUGCACGAAAGCUAGGGGAGCAAACAGG